GGAAGGAGACUUCAUUUCCCACGGACAAAAAGUUGCCACGCCCACUCUGUCGUCAGAGCCCCCUGUGCCUGAGGCGUGCGCGGCUUGGAGCCCUGCCCUCGGAGUCCUGCGGUGCCUUCCUCGAGUCUGGCCUGCUUUCCAUCGUGCUGAGUACUUGGGGCAUUUCCCUCUUUGGGCAAGGUGUGGUCUUCCCUGUCCUGGCAUUAGACACAAGGCAAUGGGCCUUCCUGCCAUUCUAAAUGUAGCUUAAGACAAUCAGUGCAAAGCAACCCUCUGUGGGUGUCCAGCCCUUGCCUCAGGAGGCCAGAAAGGUGGCCUGGCGGGAGAGCAUCUAGGCUGGCUGUGGAAAGACCCAUGUUGGGAUCCAUUCCACAGAGGUUGUCAGGGGUCUCUGCCUGGCCUGGAGGUCCCAGAGAGAAACUUCCUCCCCUCAGGAAGGCCCAUCUGGAAGGGUAGCAGAGGACUGCUCACAGGAAGAGCAUGCCAAAUGUUCUUUCUGGGGAUGCCUGUAGUUGGUGAUGUGGGAACUGGGUUUUGAGGGAUGCCUAGGAGUUCAUCCAUCAGAGGGGAAAUGAGGAAGCCAUGCAGGAUCAAUGAAUAAAGUGUGCUUAGGUGAGAGUUGGCUGGUGCAGGAUCAAUGGAUAAAGUGUGCUCAGGUGAGGGUUGGCUGGUGGGCCACUGCAGGGUGGGGGCCUGUCCAGUGCUCCUCUACUUACUUGCUGCCUCCCGACUGCUGUAAUUAUGGGUCUGUAACCACCCUGGACUGGGUGCUCCUCACUGACGGACUUGUCUGAACCUCUCUUUGUCUCCAGCGCCCAGCACUGG
rnacentral:sRNA from 1 species